UUAUCAAAUAAUAACUCGCUUCAGCACUAAAUUUGACUGGCCAUCUGUGGAGUAUUUGUGCUGUGAUUGGAUGCUUCUGUUUCUAUUUCUGUCAUAAUCAUAUAUAUGUGUGUGUGUGUGUGUGUGUGUGUGUGCGUGCGUGUGUUCCAGCUCUGUUGUGUCGGCGUAUCUCGGCUCGUCUCAUGAUGGCAGUCGUCUCUGUGAAUUCAGCAUCACACAGUACGCUUGUGCACAGGUACAUGAACCACACCAUACACAGACGCGUGAAUACACACUCUGUCUCUGUAAGCAUGUGUUUACUGUGUGUGUGUGUUCAGCUGACAGCUCUGAGCUCACAGGACCUGGCGACGGUGUUGUCAUGCGGUCUCAACAGGAAUGAGAGCGUGUCCGAGGAGACGUGGAAGCUCUUCUUGCAGAAGGUCAACCCUGUGCUGGGUCCAGCGCUCGACCUGCUCACACACACGAGGCUGAAUAAGUCCCGCCCUGCAGUCUCAUUCUUGAAUGUGAUUGGAGAAGUCACUCUGAGCUCCUUCAGCUCCACCAAUCUGAGAGAUGAUUUGUUCGUCCAGCGCUGGUUUGACUCCAGGCUCCGCCCAUUUUUACCCUACGCCUCUGAGACGUUCCUGUCCUGUCUGUCCACCAGAGACUUCAGCUGCGACACAUACAAGAGCGUGUGAGUUACACACACACACACACACACACACACACUCUCUCUCUCUCUCUCUCUCUCUCUCUCUCACAUGCACACACUCACUCACUCAUUCAUUCUCUUACAAUUACUCACACACACACACACAUAUACUCUCUCACACACACACAUUAACUCACUCACUAACCUACACACACUCUCUCUCUCACACACAGUCACACGCACACGCAUAUGUUGAUGAAACUCAUAUGUUUGGUCUCUCUCACAGUGUCAGGAGCUUCAGUCAGAGUUUUGACGUCAUGUCUACUGAUACACAAGCUAACUUCUACGUUGACUUCAUCAAAGUCUUCCUCUCUCAGAACAGCACUGCAGGUUGAACACACACACACACACACACACGCGCACACACACACACACACACACACACAGGGAUCUGUAGAUCAGUUGUGACGUGUUGCUCUGUGUUUAGGGUGUGUGAACGUCUCUCAGAGCAGCUCUGAUUGGCUGAUCAGCAGCUUCGGACGUUUUUCUGUUUUCACCACUGUCACUGACCUGCAGACACUCAACCCCAGCUUCAAUGUGGUAUGAACACACACGCGCACACACACACACACACACACACACACACACACACACACACACACACACACACACACACACACACACACACACACACACAGCGUGUACAGAUGCAUGUGUUGA
rnacentral:lncRNA from 1 species